UGCCCCAUGGCUGAGUUGGUUACAGCGUCCGACUGUUAUGUAUUGAUAUCGGAAGGUCGAGAGUUCGAGCCUCUCUGGGGCAG